rnacentral:tRNA from 1 species
GGCCGCGUGGCCUAAUGGCUAAGGCGCUAGAUUUCGGUCUUGAGCUCCCGAACUCUCUAGAGAUUCCAGGUUAGUUCCACUUCACUUCAACAGCUUCGCAACAUCCAUACUAACAGUUCAAAGGUUCGAAUCCUGGCGUGGUCG